rnacentral:rRNA from 1 species
UACGGAGGGUGCGAGCGUUGUCCGGAAUCACUGGGCGUAGAGGGCGCGUAGGCGGCCUGGUAAGUAGGGGGUGAAAUCUUGCGGCUUAACCGCAAGGCUGCCUUCUAAACUGUCGGGCUAGAGCACAGUAGAGGCAGGUGGAAUUCCCGGUGUAGCGGUGGAAUGCGUAGAGAUCGGGAAGAACAUCAGUGGCGAAGGCGGCCUGCUGGGCUGUUGCUGACGCUGAGGCGCGACAGCGUGGGGAGCAAACAGG